rnacentral:rRNA from 1 species
CAUGCCAGUCGAGGGGCAGCAUUUCAGUUUGCUUGCAAACUGGAGAUGGCGACCGGCGCACGGGUGAGUAACACGCUAUCCAACCUGCCGAUAACUCGGGGAUAGCCUUUCGAAAGAAAGAUUAAUACCCGAUGGNAUAAUCAGACCGCAUGGUCUUNUUAUUAAAGAAUUUCGGUUAUCGAUGGGGAUGCGUUCCAUUAGGCAGUUGGUGAGGUAACGGCUCACCAAACCUUCGAUGGAUAGGGGUUCUGAGAGGAAGGUCCCCCACAUUGGAACUGAGACACGGUCCAAACUCNUACGGGAGGCAGCAGUGAGGAAUAUUGGUCAAUGGGCGCAGGCCUGAACCAGCCAAGUAGCGUGAAGGAUGACUGCCCUAUGGGUUGUAAACUUCUUUUAUAUGGGAAUAAAGUUUUUCCACGUGUGGAAUUUUGUAUGUACCAUAUGAAUAAGGAUCGGCUAACUCCGUGCCAGCAGCCGCGGUAAUACGGAGGAUCCGAGCGUUAUCCGGAUUUAUUGGGUUUAAAAGGGAGCGUAGGUGGACAGUUAAGUCAGUUGUGAAAGUUUGCGGCUCAACCGUAAAAUUGCAGUUGAUACUGGCUGUCUUGAGUACAGUAGAGGUGGGCGGAAUUCGUGGUGUAGCGGUGAAAUGCUUAGAUAUCACGAAGAACUCCGAUUGCGAAGGCAGCUCACUGGACUGCAACUGACACUGAUGCUCGAAAGUGUGGGUAUCAAACAGGAUUAGAUACCCUGGUAGUCCACACAGUAAACGAUGAAUACUCGCUGUUUGCGAUAUACAGUAAGCGGCCAAGCGAAAGCAUUAAGUAUUCCACCUGGGGGAGUACGCCGGCAACGGUGAAACUCAAAGGAAUUGACGGGGGCCCGCACAAGCGGAGGAACAUGUGGUUUAAUUCGAUGAUACGCGAGGAACCUUACCCGGGCUUAAAUUGCAUUUGAAUAUANUUGGAAACAGUNUAGCCGNAAGGCAAAUGUGAAGGUGCUGCAUGGUUGUCGUCAGCUCGUGCCGUGAGGUGUCGGCUUAAGUGCCAUAACGAGCGCAACCCUUAUCUUUAGUUACUAACAGGUCAUGCUGAGGACUCUAGAGAGACUGCCGUCGUAAGAUGUGAGGAAGGUGGGGAUGACGUCAAAUCAGCACGGCCCUUACGUCCGGGGCUACACACGUGUUACAAUGGGGGGUACAGAAGGCAGCUACCUGGUGACAGGAUGCUAAUCCCAAAAGCCUCUCUCAGUUCGGAUCGAAGUCUGCAACCCGACUUCGUGAAGCUGGAUUCGCUAGUAAUCGCGCAUCAGCCAUGGCGCGGUGAAUACGUUCCCGGGCCUUGUACACACCGCCCGUCAAGCCAUGAAAGCCGGGGGUACCUGAAGUACGUAACCGCAAGGAG